ensembl:lncRNA RPS6KA2-AS1 RPS6KA2 antisense RNA 1
GGCAGCCGGAUCCCAGCUGGAACUCCGCCACAUCCCAGGAAUGUGAAUACCAGUGGAAUCCGGAUAGGACGGUGUGACCCAGGCACAGUGGCUCCCAGGGGACGCCAAUGCUGCGGGCUGAGGCCCACGCUGGAGGAACACCGGCCAGUGGGCAGCUUUGGGUGAACUUCAGAGUGGGUGGAAGCGCAGCUGCCCCGCCUGCCCCCACGGCUGCUGCGCGAUCAGGAAACACAGCACACUCCUAAGUGAGUCGUCACCAUGGUGACUUUUGGAUUCCCACUGCCAGUUCCUGUGGAGUCAGAGAGAUCUUAGCUCAGAAGUGCUGACAGCAGGGGCUGGCUGGCCACUGGCCACAUGGGAAGAGGAGAAAGGCAGCAGGAGCCACCGUGAGGCAAAUGAGCUACAAGACGCCGCUCCGUCUGAUUUCCCGCCACAGCUCCCAACACAGGUGAAAUGGCUCAGAACAGCUCAGCAUGUCCUACUGAGGGGCAGGAAGGAUGCUGAGAAAAUCCCAGGCAGCGGUCUCAGCUGGGAUGUAAUUUGAGGGCGAAAAAGUUGUGUUGCUUGCGGUUUCUUCCUUGCUCCUUGCAGGUUAUAUUUGAAAUGAAUGUCAGAGCCAUGCGGCCG